CAGGAUGAACGCUAGCGGCAGGCCUAACACAUGCAAGUCGAGGGGCAGCGGGGAGUAGCAAUACUUUGCCGGCGACCGGCGCACGGGUGCGUAACGCGUAUGUGACCUACCUAUAACAGGGGGAUAACCCAGAGAAAUUUGGACUAAUACCCCAUAUUAUUAUUGAGCUGCAUGGUUUGAUAAUGAAAGACGCGAGUUGGUUAUAGAUGGGCAUGCGUGACAUUAGCUAGUUGGUAAGGUAACGGCUUACCAAGGCGACGAUGUCUAGGGGAACUGAGAGGUUAAUCCCCCACACUGGUACUGAGACACGGACCAGACUCCUACGGGAGGCAGCAGUGAGGAAUAUUGGUCAAUGGUCGGAAGACUGAACCAGCCAUGCCGCGUGAAGGUGACGGCCCUAUGGGUCUUAAACUUCUUUUGUAAGGGAGCAAUAAGUCUCACGUGUGGGAUGAUGAGAGUACCUUACGAAUAAGCAUCGGCUAACUACGUG
rnacentral:rRNA from 1 species